UACGAAGGGUGCAAGCGUUAAUCGGAAUUACUGGGCGUAAAGGGUGCGUAGGCGGUUAUGUAAGUCUGCCGUGAAAUCCCCGGGCUCAACCUGGGAAUGGCGGUGGAUACUGGAUAGCUAGAGUGUGUCAGAGGAUGGUGGAAUUCCCGGUGUAGCGGUGAAAUGCGUAGAGAUCGGGAGGAACAUCAGUGGCGAAGGCGGCCAUCUGGGACAACACUGACGCUGAAGCACGAAAGCGUGGGGAGCGAACAGG
rnacentral:rRNA from 1 species